rnacentral:rRNA from 1 species
UACCCUGUUAUUUAAAAUGUAAAUUUUUUACUUAGGUAGUAAUAGUUAUGUUCUUGAAACUUAAAAAAUUUGGCGGUAUUUUAGUCUAUUCAGAGGAACCUGUUCUGUAAUUGAUAAUCCACGUUGGACCUUACUUAAAUUUGUUUAGCAAUUUAUAUACCGUUGUUAUUAAAAUAUUUUUGAGAAUAAUAAUAUUUAAUAAUUUUGAUAAAAAUUUAUAUCAAAUCAAGGUGUAGUUUAUGUUUAAGUAGAAAUGGGUUACAAUAAAAUUAUUUAUGGAUAUAAAUAUGAAAAAUUUAUUGAAAUUGGAUUUGAUUGUAAAAUUAUAAAGAUUAAUAAUUUGAUUUUAGCUCUAAAAUAUGUACAAAUCGCCCG